GAAGCGAAGGCAAGCAAGGCGAAGCGAAGUCGGAGGGUUUCGUUACUGAUGGACAUCGUCAAGAUGCAUAAACAGUUCUCUAAACUGCCGUUGCUUGCUAAAAUUUCUAUCUUUCCGGUGUCUGUAGUUACUCUGAUGGGUAUCGGCGCUCUGAUUGCUCAUGAGAGAAAUCAACUCGUGAAAUAUCUCCAAAAACGGUUUGUCUUCUUCCCUUGAAACUUCAAUAGAUUCUUUUCUCUUUAUCUAUUGGUCUCACCUUGUAUCAGGUGGAUAGUUAAAUAUCUCACCUUGACGUGUGCUCUUCAUAAUGGUCUAUAAAUUCCAAUACUAUGUCUUUGUGAUGUGUUGUUUCUC